rnacentral:SRP_RNA from 1 species
GCCAGGCAUGGUGGUGCAUGCCUGUAGUCCCAGCUACUCAGGAGGCUGAGGUGGGAGGAUCGCUUCAGCCCAGGAGUUCUGGGCUGUAGUGUGCUAUGCCAACCGGGUGUCCUCACUAAGUUCGGCAUCAAUAUGGUGACCUCCCAGGAGCGGGGGACCACCAGGUUGCCUAAGGAGGGGUGAGCCGGCCCAGGUCGGAAACAGAGCAGGUCAAAACUCCUGUGCUGAUCAGUAGUGGGACUGCAUCUAUGAAUAGCCACUGCAUUCCAACCUGGGCAACAUAGCAAGACCCCCUCUCU